rnacentral:rRNA from 1 species
GAGUCGCAUUGACAACCAGGAGGUUGGCUUGGAAGCAGCCACCCUUGAAAGAGUGCGUAAUAGCUCACUGGUCAAGUGAUUCCGCGCCGACAAUGUAGCGGGGCUCAAGUAUACCGCCGAAGCUGUGGCAUUCACAUAUCAGCUCAGCGCACCUUCGGGUGUGUUCAGGCGUGUGGAUGGGUAGGGGAGCGUCGUGUGGCGAGUGAAGUCGCGGGGGAACCCAGCGGUGGACGCCACACGAGUGAGAAUGCAGGCAUGAGUAGCGAAUCACGGGUGAGAAACCCGUGCGCCGAAUGAUCAAGGGUUCCAGGGUCAAGCUAAUCUGCCCUGGGUAAGUCGGGACCUAAGGCGAGGCCGACAGGCGUAGUCGAUGGACAACGGGUUGAUAUUCCCGUACCGGCGAAGUUGCGCCCAUGACGAACCUGGUGAUGCUAACCACCCGAAACUCAUCGGACCGGACCCUUCGGGGCGAGGCUGGUGGGCGGAGCGUGGGACCCUAGCCGGUAGUAGUCAAGCGAUGGGGUGACACAGGAAGGUAGCCCAACCACAGCGAUGGUUGUCUGUGGGCAAGCGUGUAGGACGUGGUGUAGGCAAAUCCGCACCAUCCACUUCAGUGUGGAGUCUGAGACGUGAUGCGGAGCCGUAUGGCGAAGUGGGUGAUCCUAUGCUGUCGAGAAAAACCUCUAGCGAGCAACGAGCCGCCCGUACCCCAAACCGACUCAGGUGAUCAAGUAGAGAAUACUAAGGCGAUCGAGAAAACCAUGGUUAAGGAACUCGGCAAAAUGCCCCCGUAACUUCGGGAGAAGGGGGGCCCGGAUCGUGAACCCACUUGCUGGGGGAGGCGUGAAGGGCCGCAGAGACCAGGGGAAAGCGACUGUUUACUAAAAACACAGGUCCGUGCGAAGUUGUAAGACGAUGUAUACGGACUGACUCCUGCCCGGUGCUGGAAGGUUAAGAGGACCGGUUAGAUCGCAAGAUCGAAGCUGAGAAUUUAAGCCCCAGUAAACGGCGGUGGUAACUAUAACCAUCCUAAGGUAGCGAAAUUCCUUGUCGGGUAAGUUCCGACCUGCACGAAUGGAGUAAC